ensembl:lincRNA
UGGACCCCGCGCCGCGUUCUCGCGAGACUGCCGGGCCGCACCACCCACUGGGCGGGCCCGCCGCCACUCAGCUGAUGAGGACUUCCGGCCCCGCCCCGGAAACAGGACGGGGCGUCUGACAAGGUUCCUGGGUUGGUUAACGCCGUGUGUCACCCGCUGAGUUUUCAGAAAGAGAAAGGAGCCCAGCGCCCCGAGGCUCACUUCUAACUGGCUGCGACCGGGGCGGGCUCCUGAGGCUGGCUUGGCCUUCCCUCCUUGGGGCCUGGGACAAGGUUUCUGAACCGCGUUAUUGGUCACCCCGGUGGCCCUGUCCUGCCGGUCUGGCCUGUACCCUGUAGGAUGUUCAGCAGUUCCCUGGUCUCUGCUGUCCCCCUAGAUACCUGCCUCAGCCUCACCAGCCCUGGUUGUGACAACCAAGAGUGUCCCCAGAAGUCCGCUAAAGGACCCUUGGAGGCCUCACGUCCUGUUGAGAACAAGUGACCAGGCUGCACCCUGUCUCGGCCUUGGCAGAGAUGCCAGACCUCCCGUGGUCAGUGGGCUGGCAUCUGGAGGCCCAGCUGUCCUCCCACAAGCCUUUGUGACCCACCAGGCAAAGGUGAUUUCACCCUAUCCCAGCAACCCUUCCUCCAUACUGCCUCCUGUAGUAUCGGUUUAUUCUUUUGCCUCUGAUUUGUACAUGUUCUCUACAGGUCCCGGAUUCGCAGUGACAGAGUUCUUAGGUGUCUUCUUCCUCACCGUGCCCCUGCAUUUAGGACAGUGCUUGACAUCUCCUGGAGUGGCAGUGUCUUCCAACAGCAGCCCCAGCAAGGCUUUAGUAAUUGAGAUCCACAGCUCCAGGGAUUCAAAUGGUAAGACAUCUGCAGCAGUCAGGUGUUCACCUACAGGAGGCGUGGGGGAGAAGGAAAAGAAAUAGUGAAAGAAGAUGACCUGCUUCCUCCUAGUGCAACUGGUGCAAGAUGGUAACAAAUGUGCAACCACAUCUGUUCUACCACUUUUAUAAUUCCUUUUAAGGAAUCUUUUUUUCUAAAAACAAAAUAAUUUUUUUCACAGUUCUGGUGACCAAACCCAGGAUCUUUGCACUGAGCUUCAUCCCCAGCCCUUUUUUAUUUUUUGUUUUGAGACCAGGUCUUGCUAAGUGCAUCCCUCACACUUGGGAUCCUCUAAUCCUUCUGCCUCAGCCUCCCCAAGAGAUGAGAUUACAGGCAUUCACCGCCAUGCCCAUCUCUUUAUAAGUAAUGCUAACCUAUGUUGUGAUCAUAAAAUAGACAAUCAGUAACUAUAAAUGUGUUCCUUUUUUAGGUUAAAACUUACAGGAAAGAUCAAUAGAGACAAGUACAACGGAGAACUGAAGCACAGAUAUAAAAUACCUCAACCCAUGCCAAUAAAGGGGUUUCCAGUCCAUGAGGGAAAGGAUGAAUUGUUCAUAAAUUCUGUUGGAAAAAGCAACGACAUGGGGAAACAGGCUUCAUAUUUUUUACUGACAAAAUUUACAGAUGGAUAAAUAUUGACGAAACCAGCAAUACAAAAACAUUAGGGGAAAAUUGGCAAAUACGAAAUCUUUGAGAGGGGAUCUUUUUAAAGGCUAAAACAAGUUAGAAGCUAUUUAUUGAAAAAGUUGAUUUGUCUACGUAAAGACUUAAGACAACGUGUAUACAAUGUUUUGGUUCAAAAACAACAUGUAUAAAAAAUAAUCUCAAUUAACUGAAAAAAAACCCCACGUACCUUCAAUACAUAGAACAAAGUUAAUGUCUUUAUUGUAUGAAGCAUUCUUCAGAACUUCAUGGAACUGCAUGCAGCUGAUCCAUGAGAGUGGCACAGAAGCAGCCAGGGCCUUCAGAGCAGAGCUUAAUCCAUGGUGCCUUGGGUUGAGUUGCAGCUGGCUGGCUACACUCAAGGGCCAGAAGUGGGUAUGUGACCUAAGCCUGUCCAAUCAUCAGCGGCUCAUCUGUCAAGCUUCACUGAUUGGUUCAGAGAUGGACAUGUGACCCAAGUUGGUGAGCACAAUAAGCCGUACUCUCUUGGAUGGCUGGGUCUGUGACCUAAGCUGUGUAACCAGCAGCAUCCCAUCUACAGAGCUGCAGGGCCUGCUGCAGGGACGGAAUAUCCAAGUUAGCUAGAGCUAAAGCCAGGAUUGAUUCUGGAAUGUUCAGAAGGGAGAGAUUCAUCUUCUACUGAGAUUAAUGGAAGUUUUGUUAUUGCUGCUGCUGCUGCUGCUACUGCUGAGGUUUUUAUUUUGAGCUUAGUGUUAUAAAGACAAGCCUGGAGUUGUCGGGUCAUUUUGUGAAACAAACCUCCCUACAGUGACUGGAAACACACCUCUCUUCUCUUCGGAGAGCUAUGGCAAAGGUCUACAAAACAAAACAAAAAGAUAGCUUACCAGUCUGGAUUCUAGACAGCCUUAAGUCAUUCUCUCCAGGGUGCUUCAUCAUGAGUUCCUAAAUUCUCUUUUUGAGUGAGCAGAUCUGAUAAUGACUUGUAAUUGAAAAAGUCUUGGCCAAUUCAAGGAGUACUGUACAUGCAUGUGCAUACACAAACAGAAAAGAAAAUGGUAUAUGUGCUUUUAUGAAACAAAGUACACCAGUAAUUUUAUUUGUUUGUUUGUUUGUUUAUUUAUUUAUUUGGAUAAAGGGACUUGCUAUGUAGCCCAGGCUAGCCUCAAACUCAUAGCAAUCCUCCUGACUCAGCC